rnacentral:rRNA from 1 species
GAUGAACGCUGGCGGCGUGCCUAAUACAUGCAAGUCGAGCGAACAGACGAGGAGCUUGCUCCUCUGACGUUAGCGGCGGACGGGUGAGUAACACGUGGAUAACCUACCUAUAAGACUGGGAUAACUUCGGGAAACCGGAGCUAAUACCGGAUAAUAUAUUGAACCGCAUGGUUCAAUAGUGAAAAACGGUUUUGCUGUCACUUAUAGAUGGAUCCGCGCCGCAUUAGCUAGUUGGUAAGGUAACGGCUUACCAAGGCGACGAUGCGUAGCCGACCUGAGAGGGUGAUCGGCCACACUGGAACUGAGACACGGUCCAGACUCCUACGGGAGGCAGCAGUAGGGAAUCUUCCGCAAUGGGCGAAAGCCUGACGGAGCAACGCCGCGUGAGUGAUGAAGGUCUUCGGAUCGUAAAACUCUGUUAUUAGGGAAGAACAAAUGUGUAAGUAACUAUGCACGUCUUGACGGUACCUAAUCAGAAAGCCACGGCUAACUACGUG